GUGGAUGCUGGAAUAAGCUGGUGGUUGCUGGUUCUCAUCCGGAAGGGAAGUUGGCUUGGUUCGGGAGGAAUCAGACGUUGGCAUGCAUCGCGGGAAGCAUGGGAAUUCGGCUGGAUAUAGAUCAUGAACGGAAGCACAGAGGAAGCGGAUGAGAUAGGUUUGGAUGCUGGGAAGGAGUUGGAUUCCUGGGCUUUAUCCCGUGGAGGGGAUCUAGCGGGAGAAACUGGGAAAUUCGGAGAAGGGAUAUGGCUGGAAGUGGGGGAAAUACUUGUUCUG
rnacentral:lncRNA from 1 species